GCUGGCUUAGCUCAGUUGGUAGAGCAGUUGAUUUGUAAUCAUCAGGUCGCGGGUUCGACCCCUGCAGCCAGCACCA
rnacentral:tRNA from 4 species